UCGAGAAUCUUCCGCAAUGGGCGAAAGCCUGACGGAGCGACGCCGCGUGCGGGAUGAAGGCCUUCGGGUUGUAAACCGCUGUCAGUGGGGAGGAAGUGCAUGGGGGUUCUCCCCUGUGCUUGACCGAUCCGCAGAGGAAGCGCAGGCUAAGUUCGUGCCAGCAGCCGCGGUAACACGAACUGCGCAAACGUUAUUCGGAAUCACUGGGCUUAAAGAGUUCGUAGGCGGCACGUUAAGUCGGGUGUGAAAUCCCUCGGCUCAACCGAGGAAUUGCGUUCGAUACUGGCGUGCUUGAGUAAGAUAGAGGUGAGCGGAACUGAUGGUGGAGCGGUGAAAUGCGUUGAUAUCAUCAGGAACACCGGUGGCGAAAGCGGCUCACUGGGUCUUAACUGACGCUGAGGAACGAAAGCUAGGGGAGCGAACG
rnacentral:rRNA from 1 species